GUGAAGAACGCAGCGAAAUGCGAUAAGUAAUGUGAAUUGCAGAAUUCAGUGAAUCAUCGAAUCUUUGAACGCACAUUGCGCCCGCCAGCAUUCUGGCGGGCAUGCCUGUUCGAGCGUCAUUUCAACCCUCGAGCCCCCCCGGGGGCCUCGGUGUUGGGGGACGGCACACCAGCCGCCCCCGAAAUGCAGUGGCGACCCCGCCGCAGCCUCCCCUGCGUAGUAGCACACACCUCGCACCGGAGCGCGGAGGCGGUCACGCCGUAAAACGCCCAACUUUCUUAGAGUUGACCUCGGAUCAGGUAGGAAUACCCGCUGAACUUAAGCAUAUCAAUAAGCGGAGGA
rnacentral:misc_RNA from 1 species